UUAAAUGAUUAGGUUAGAGACUUCAUCUGUCAUCUGGUUUAAUAACACUUUUCAGCAUUUCCAGCAGGUUCCACUCUGUUGCAAACCUUUAGGCUAGGUGUUCCUAUAAUCUCUGUGGCUGUUCACAUUACCUGGUUAGCUGUUUGUUAGAUAACAAUUCUGUUAAACACCCAGAUCUCUUAGUUGAUAUAUAGUGGGAUUUCUACAUUGAAGAAAUGCCAGUUUUUAAUAUAUAUUCAUUUUUUUUCAGUUACUAAUAUUACUAAGCAAUUCUUUUUUCAUUUAAUUCUUUCUAGAUUAUUUCUUCUUAUUGGAAAAUUACCUUAAAUA